rnacentral:tRNA from 1 species
GGGAAUAUGGCUCAAUGGUAGAGUGCUUGCCUAGCAUGCAUGAAGCCCUAGGUUCAAUUCUCAGUACCA